UUCAAUAAAGCUUCUGCAUUUAAAAAAAAAAAGUUACAACUUACAAGUGUGAAUAUUUUUCUUCCGACCACCACGUUUCAAUCAUGCAAAGCAGCAUAAUGCCAAAUAUCAUUAAAAAAAAAGAAAAGAAAGCAAAAUGCAAAUAUCUAAGUAAAAACAAGAAAAAGAAAACCAAGACGAAAUUAUUUGGAAGCAAUAACCGCGUUGGACUGUGCGUGCCAGAAACAAAACAACAAGCAAGCACCGCCACCAGCCAGCGGAGUAGUGAAGAAAGAAAGCCUCUUCUCUCUCACAGACACAAAUAG